rnacentral:rRNA from 1 species
AUGAGCCACACCCCUGACCAGCCAGGUCCACUGGCACAGCAGUCGCGCUGCACCCCGCAGGCUAGAUCCGCCGCUAGGGCACCAGGUCCCCACAUCGUGCAGCAACCCGAAGGGGUCAUGCCCGGACGCCCACCACGUUGCCUCCCUUACAGACCUCCCCUUCAACUAGAAGAGAAGUUUGCCGCCACCCGAACCGGAGCCGCCAUUCCGGCGCACCAGCCAAUGCAGCCCGCACAGGCCAGGACCCACCACGCUACCCUGUCACCACGGCCACAGUGGCGGCGAUGCGAGGGAGGAGGAGAGGAGGGGGCUAGCAGCGACGCGACUGGGGCUUCCCUCUCUACCCUGCCAGGGAUCUACCCGAUGUUGCACCCUCUCCACAACCGGUUUAAGAUCCUUCAUGCAGAUUUUCGCAUCGCUUACCGGAAGGCCCAGAUGGAGUGCAACACGAGAUAUAUAAAGAAGAUGUUGAGGAACAAGUCGCGCUCCGUCCUCUCCCGCCUCUUCCUACUCUGCAGGAAUCGCGCGCCGCGGCCACUGCGGGAGCACGCCGCUGCCUCGCAGCUCCGAGUUCCGGAGGCAGCCAGACGACGUUUGCCCUUCUCCUUCUCCGAGUCCGGCGGCCACAUCAUCAAACGGCCACCACCACCGCUGGUGGCUGCAGCGACGGCCUUCGCCGCUGGCGCAUCGGCGAUCGCUGCCCACCUCAGAUACGGCGAGACCGUGCCCUUCACCGGGCGCACCCACCUUGUCGUGAUCUCUCACCAGGAAGCACGCGUGCUCGAAGAGGCCGACUUCGCCGACUUGGUGAAGAAGCACGAUAUCCUCGGCCCGCACCACCCCCACACCGUCCGAAUCCGUCACAUUGCCCGCGAGAUCAUCACUGCCGCACACAUUGCCCUGGACAUCAAGCAGAGGCAGACGGAAUCUGGAUUGGAUGGAGAAGCUGGACUGGGAGGUGAUCGUCGUCGAAAGCAACAACUUCCUGGUAGGGACCUAUCCCGGAGCCGCCAAGAUCAUCGUCGCCCACGUCAUUGCAAGGCACACAUCAGAAAUGAUCAGCAAUUGGUUUCCAUUAAAGGCCUUGUUACGAAGAUACAUGAUCCAUGUAGGCAAGAGAUAGAGGCGGAUCAUAUCGGGAUGCUGUUGUUCGCCGCUGCUGGCUUCGAUCCACGCAUAGUCCCGCUGCUGUGGGACAGAGAGGGAGUAGCCAUGUCAGUGCAAACAGGCAUGCCGUGUCUCUUAUCUUCCAGGGUUUGGGCAUUAUUGUUAUCUGCUCCAUUGGAUGCUGCAGUGGAGAAUAAUGAUAAGCAUUUUAGCCUUGCUGAAUCCUUCAUCCUACUAAGAAGAUCUCCAGCUUUCCUGUGGACUAAAGGCCUCAGGACAACAGAUGGUGUCAGGAACUCCCGAGCUUCCUUAAGACAUGGCAAGACAUCCCCCUUAAGCAAAGAACAAGCAAAUAUCUGCAACCGAGUGGAGCCGUCAUUCACAGUGCCUGACGCAUCCAACAACGAAUAUCCAUCAACUGAAAUCCUACGAUUACUACCAUGCCAGACCACCGGCAUACACAAUCAAAAGAAAAUAUACACCCAUUCUGAACGGAAUAAGUUGAAGUCAGUGUACCGCAAAAUCUCGAUGCUUCUUGCUUGCAACAGCUUCUUUUGCUUUUCCUUCUGCGGAAGGACGCGGGGGACGGAGGCGGGCGACGCGGCGGGGCCCAAGGCGGGCGCCGCGGCUGCUGGCUCGCGACGCUGCGACUGGAGGAGGCGCGCGACGCAGCUGGGCCCAAGGCGGGCACCGUGUCUGCUGGCUCGCCUGCUGCGGCCGGAGGAGGAGCGCGACGCGGCUGGAAGUGCGCAGCUGGGCGUUUUUGGCGCUGGAAGACCCAAACGUGCUGCUGAAAAGUUGGAAACAGGGGUAGUAUGCAAUCCGGAGGUUAAUGCUUCGACGGCCGCUGGGGGCGGGCGGAAGCUUCUCGAAGACAGCGCGGCAGCAAGGCAAGCGCUCCGCAGGAGCGAGAGCAGCUGGCGCUCCGAGUAUGCUAUGUUCGUACUCUGUUCGUCUUCUCGCCUCGCGAUCAACGGCUGGCAGCAAGCGGCGGCGGCAGCACUGACGAGGAACAUAUUGAUUGGAGUUGUUGCAGCAAUAUGCAGAAACCGCCUUGGAGGUUUGCAGGGCGCAUUUGCUAUAUUUUUUUUAUGUGAAAUGGGGGAUCCAACAAUUUUGGAAGCUCUAGCAGUGAGGGGAGCUUCCUAG